GCCUCUAGCUAUUAAUAUUAGAGGUCCAUUCUGCCCUAUGCCCUACGGGGUAAAUGGCCGCGGUAGCCUGACCGUGCUAAGGUAGCAUAAUCAUUUGCCGUUUAAUUGAUGGCUGGAAUGAAUGAAUAUACGAGAGCUCAACUGUCUCAUUUUUACAAAUAUAAAUUGACCCUCAAGUGAAGAGACUUGAAUUCUUAAAAAAGACGAAAAGACCCUAUAGAGCUUUACCUGAAAUCUAUAUCAUAUAUAAUAAAGGUUUAGUUGGGGCAACUAGAGAGCACCUAAAACCUCUCUUCAAAUUUUCUAAUAACGAUCCGUUUUUACGAUAAGUAGAAAAAGCUACCUUAGGGAUAACAGGCUAAUCCUCUUUAAGAGACCAUAUUGACAAGAGGGAUUGGCACCUCGAUGUUGGCUCAAGGUUACAGUUUGAUGCAGCAGUCAAACAAAGUAGGUUUGUUCACCCUUUAAAUCCUU
rnacentral:rRNA from 1 species